AACGCAUAUUGCGCCCUUUGGUAUUCCGAAGGGCAUGCCUGUUCGAGCGUCAUUAUCACCGUCUCAAGCUUGGCUUGUUGUUGGGCCCUGUCACUGGGUGACAGGUCCAAAAGAUAAUGACCGGUGUCAUACCGACGCUAUAUGCAACGAGCUUAUUACAGCACGCAUCUGGCAGUUGUGUGGCCCGGUCGUCACCCCUUUAUUUCUCAAGGUUGACCUCGGAUCAGGUAGGAAUACCCGCUGAACUUAA
rnacentral:misc_RNA from 1 species